UACGUAGGGUGCAAGCGUUAAUCGGAAUUACUGGGCGUAAAGCGUGCGUAGACGGUCAUGUAAGUCGGGUGUGAAAGCCCCGGGCUCAACCUGGGAAUUGCAUUCGAGACUGCAUGGCUAGGGUGCGGAAGAGGGAAGCGGAAUUUCCGGUGUAGCGGUGAAAUGCGUAGAUAUCGGAAGGAACACCAGUGGCGAAAGCGGCUUCCUGGUCCAGCACCGACGUUCAGGCACGAAAGCGUGGGGAGCAAACAGG
rnacentral:rRNA from 1 species